rnacentral:lncRNA from 1 species
UUUAAAUCACAAACCUAAAUCCACAGUAUUUCUCUAAAAAAUGAAAACUUUCCAAAAAUAGCAGCUUUUAAGAAAAUUAUUUAAAAAUACAACAUAUUGAUGAAAAAUUCUGAAAGAAUACUCAUCUAUCAAGAAAUAUUCUUGUUCUCCUAAUUUCUAAAUCACAAACCCAAAUCCACAUUAUUUCUCUAUUAAAUGAAAACUUUCCAAAAAUAGCAGCUUUUAAGAAAAUUAUUUAUAAAUACAACAUAUUGAUGAAAAAUUAUCAAAGAAUACUCAUCUAUCAAAAA